AUUGAACGCUGGCGGCAGGCCUAACACAUGCAAGUCGAGCGGUAACACAGAGGAGCUUGCUCCUUGGGCGACGAGCGGCGGACGGGUGAGUAAUGCCUGGGGAUCUGCCCGAUAGAGGGGGAUAACUACGGGAAACUGUAGCUAAUACCGCAUAAUGUCUACGGACCAAAGUGGGGGCUCUUCGGACCUCAUGCUAUCGGAUGAACCCAGGUGGGAUUAGCUAGUUGGUGAGGUAAUGGCUCACCAAGGCGACGAUCUCUAACUGGUUUGAGAGAAUGACCAGUCACACUGGAACUGAGACACGGUCCAGACUCCUACGGGAGGCAGCAGUGGGGAAUAUUGCACAAUGGGCGCAAGCCUGAUGCAGCCAUGCCGCGUGUGUGAAGAAGGCCUUCGGGUUGUAAAGCACUUUCAGCGGGGAGGAAGGGCUACUAGUUAAUACCUAGUGGCAUUGACGUUACUCGCAGAAGAAGCACCGGCUAACUCCGUGCCAGCCGCCGCCGUAAAAC
rnacentral:rRNA from 1 species